rnacentral:lncRNA from 1 species
UAAAGACCCAAAUAUGAGCAAAUUAAACCAUUAAGGCUCUUUCAGUAUGGAAUGACAAAAAGUGAAAAAGGCCUUUUAGGAAGGAUCUCCAGGAAUCCUGUGGGGAGAGGCUGGUGCUGGGGGAAGACAGAGGAAUGCCUGGAGAGGACAGAAGUGAGACUACACCUGUUGGUCUGGAUUGCAGCUGGAAUUGGAAGGGAAAUGCAUUUCCAUUGAAGGAAGAAGUGUAACAGUGAGCAGGCAGGUGUCAGCGGAUCUCAAGAGAAUAAUGUCAACUGGACAAUGGCUUAGAGGCAGGAGGAGGCAGAUCAGCUAGGCAGAUGUGCAGAAGUUAAGUGUGGUUUCAUGCAGAAACUUCCAAAUGGAUUCAAGAGCCAAAGCCUUCAAGAAGUUGGUGUCAUUGUCACUUGGAAUAUGUUUGUAUUAAUACAGGUAGAAUAUGUUAAUAAACC